GGACUACAAGGGUUUCUAAUCCUGUUCGCUACCCAUGCUUUCGCUCCUCAGCGUCAGUUACUGCCCAGAGACCUGCCUUCGCCAUCGGUGUUCCUCCUGAUAUCUGCGCAUUUCACCGCUACACCAGGAAUUCCAGUCUCCCCUACAGCACUCAAGUUAUGCCCGUAUCGCCUGCACGCCCGAAGUUAAGCCCCGGGAUUUCACAGACGACGCGACAAACCACCUACGAGCUCUUUACGCCCAGUAAUUCCGGACAACGCUUGCACCCUACGUAUUACCGCGGCUGCUGGCAC
rnacentral:rRNA from 1 species